rnacentral:misc_RNA from 1 species
GAUGAAGAACGCAGCAAAAUGCGAUACUUAGUGUGAAUUGCAGAAUCCCGUGAACCAUCGAGUUUUUUAACGCAAGUUGCGCCCGAAGCCUUUUGGCCGAGGGCACGUCUGCCUGGGCGUCACGCAUCGCGUCGCCCCCCACAAUUCUCUGUAAAGGGAACUCGUGUUUUGGGGGCGGAUAUUGGUCUCCCGUGCUCAUGGCGUGGUUGGCCGAAAUAGGAGUCCCUUCGAUGGACGCACGAACUAGUGGUGGUCGUAAAAACCCUCGUCUUUUGUUUCGUGCUGUUAGUCGCAAGGGAAACUCUAAGAAAACCCCAACGUGUCGUCUUUUGACGGCGCUUCGACCGCGACCCCAGGUCAGGCGGGACUACCCGCUGAGUUUAAGCAUAUCAAUAAGCGGAGGA